rnacentral:rRNA from 1 species
UACCAGCACCCCGAGUGGUCGGGACGUUUAUUGGGCCUAAAGCAUCCGUAGGCUGCUCCGCAAGUCGGAUGUGAAAGCCCUGGGCUCAACCUAGGAAGUGCAUUCGAUACUGCGGAGCUGGAGUCCUGGAGAGGAAGGCGGAAUUCUCGGUGUAGAGGUGAAAUUCGUAGAUAUCGAGAGGAACACCGGUGGCGAAGGCGGCCUUCUGGACAGUGACUGACGCUGAGACGCGAAAGCGUGGGGAGCAAACAGG